rnacentral:rRNA from 1 species
AUGAAUGUGUUCCGACUUGAGUCUCGCGUUACCGCUGUCGUUGACUAUCUUGCAAGGCUAAAGGUCGCCACUUCUCGCAUUGACACCACGCUCUGGCCCGGGGAGACACUGCAGAAUGACCUCGAGUCUCUGAUGGCUCGACUAAACACGGUUCCUGGUCGAGUCUCCAUAGACCAAGAAGAAUGGAGUUCUCCCGGUCGACCGAUUAGGCGUGGUCCGCAGUCCACCUCGUUCAGGACAGAUUUCCUGCUCAACAUCCUCCCCGGUCAGAAUGGGGCUGGAGAAGGUAUGGCAUUUGUGCUCACAAACAAUCCAUCGUUGCCCAGCAACAGCAGUGGCCAGUGGCUUGGCAUAUGCAAUGACACGACAGACGGCACGAAGACGGACCCAGUUGUAGCCGUCGAGUUUGACACGAGGAAGAGCUACGAGGAUGACCUUGAUGGCAACCAUGUCGGCAUUGACAUCAACAGCAUCAAAUCUAUUCGGCAGUACCCGCUUAGUAAUGUUUUCAUCGUUCUCUCAAGUGGGUCUGAUGUAUGGGUUAGUAUCAGGUACCACGGCACAUCAAAAUUGUUUCAAGUAUUUCUAGUCCAACAUAGCAUCCGUGGGCGGUAUGUCUACCAAGGAGAUAUCUACAUUGAUCUAUCACAGCUUCUGCAGGACAAGAUAUAUUUGGUAUUUGCUGGUUCCACUGGCAACUUCACCCAACUGAACCAGAUAAAGUCGUGGAACUUCACCAUGAUAGAUGAAUAA